CUCCCUCCCGUAGGUUUCCCCUUCUUCUCGCCCGCUUUUGCCCUCUCCCACUGAUGCACUGAGGUUCUCCCUCGCUGUAGAGGAACAACGUGAACUGCCGAAGGGAACCUUCUCCAGUCGCCAUCGGCGUUGUUCCUGAUAUCACACUGUACGGCGGUCGCGUCUCUUUUAUCACUUGACCGGUCUUUUUGUUUAUCAAUGGAGAGCUCGUGUUCACGUUCACGUAUUAUUACGCACACUUAUCCGCGAUCGCCACGCAUUACCAGUACGCACGCGCGCGGCGGGUAUCGCGACCGCGAAGAGGAGCAAUUCUGCCCGCCGCGCCUCGGGACUCCUUUCAGCGAGUGCAUCGUCGUCAAGGUCGUCGCGGGAUCGAGUCACAGGAUCGAGUAAGAUCCGACGGAAAAAAAACCUGAUUCCGCGAUUUUAUCGUGAAGAAGGGUUUUUAAUCCGUUUGCGAGAUAGAAGAGAGAUGCCGAAGACCAUUGCCUCGAAAGAAAACAGAGAGAGAGAGAGAGAGAGAGAGAGAUCAUUUCGAGGAAAAUAUGGUUUCUGCUUCAGGGAAAAUGCUCUGAGAGAGUUUGAUGCUACAGAAAUACAAGAAAUAGUUUAAAAAAAAAUACUUGAUAUAUCGCGAUCGGAAAUUCUUAGGAGAAGAGUACACGAAAGAUCUUUCCGCGGCGAGCAAUUCCGAAAGUUUGCGGAUUUUAACUGAUGGUUGUUUGCAAAAACAGAGAGAUCUUUCCAACCAAGUUCUACGAAUUUGAACUACGAAGAAAUGAGAAAUGUGGUAAUUUAAACAAGAGAUUCUUGAUACACAAAAGACGAUUUCCUGUGAAGGAAGAAGCGAAAUUCUUCGAAAUAACGCGACUCGGAUUCAUUAUCUGGAAAUAAUCUCGGCCGGGGAAAUCAAGAAUAAGUAUCAUCAAGCAACAAAGGUAUCAAACAUACAAAGACUCUUGCAAUAGAGAAUUAAAAAAAAAAAAAUCAGAUAUAAAAAAAAUCUCGACGGGACAAUGAAACUCUUUUGGGGAAAUAAUUCCCGGAAAAAAAUAAUAAGAAAAAUCGCGCGGAGAGACGGCGAAAGUCACCGAGUCCGAGAUUAAGGUCUCUCGACCGAGCGAAAUUUCGGGAGGACGUUCAAGGGAGAUGUGCCGAUAGAAUAAAAAAAAAAAAAAAAGCACAAAAAUAUUCGCGUGUCGAGAUCGUAUCAAGGUCGUGAUUCCUGAAGAACACGUGCAUACUGCGUGGCCGAACAAAGUUCAGCUUCGAGAGAGAGAGGCAAUUGAGUUAAUUAUGACUUAACCGGCCGUAAACCACUUCGGUGCGAAGUCAUUGCGCGAGACUGCGCGAGAGAAGUAGGGAAAGGAAAUACGAGAAAAAUCAAAAAAAUAAAAAGGGAGGGGAGGACAAUGUACAGCUGCAACGGUAUCGCUGCCGCGCUGCGAUUGAUUCGCGGGAAGGGAAUUUCUUAGGUAACAGAAUUGCCGAGUCUUUCUUUCUCUCUCUCUCUAUCUCUAUCUCUCGAGAGCGAGUGGAAAGAGAGGGGAAGAGAAGAGAAUAGUUCUUGAGCACACAGGAGGAGGGAGUGUCGACCAACGAUGGACUUUGUACCCAACUAAAAUGACUCAUCGGUGAGGUAGAGGAAGAAACGCGCACUUUGGAUUCGUCUUUGUCGCAUUCUUCUUUUUUGUUAUUGCCAACGACGAUCUGAUCAAGAUUCGAAUUAUUUGUGAAAAAACUACAUUUGUGAGAGUAAAAACAAAACGAUGUUUCAAGAUACUUAUUCGAAAUUUUUGACUUGCUUGAAAUUAAUUUUGAAAAAGAUGUGCAUAAUCAAUACGAGUAACAGCAAAAAAAAAAAAAAAAAAAUGCGGCAAACAUCUUUGAGAAUAAAUUUUUACGGUGUUUACGCAUCAUAAAGCUAUUUACUCGACAAAAACAUCAAAGUGACGAAGUGCGUACUUAUCUGAUUGAAAAAAUACAUACAGAAUACGAUAACACGUACAAAAAAAA